UGUAAGCUAUGAUAUUAAUUUUGAAAUGGAAUGAUUUAAUAUAGUAAUAUUUCACUGUUUUUGCAAUGGAAAGGAGAAAAAGGAAAGUAAGACGCGUACAACAAACUUUAAAUUUCAAGAGUAGUAAUUUAUUGCUAUUCGGUGGAAUCUGAAGUCUUGUACAUAGACAAAGAUAUAGACAGAUCAUGUUACUUUUUCCAAAAA
rnacentral:lncRNA from 1 species